rnacentral:rRNA from 1 species
AUGCAUAUCAUAAGCGGAGGAAAAGAAACCAACAGGGAUUGCCUUAGUAACGGCGAGUGAAGCGGCAACAGCCCAGAUUUGAAAUCUGACUUUCGGGUCCGACUUGUAAUCUGCAGAUGAGUCUUCCGGCAGAGCGCCGUCCAAGUGCCCUGGAACGGGCCGCCGGAGAGGGUGAGAGCCCCGUACCGACGCGCGCCGCGCCUCUGUGAAGCUCAUUCGAAGAGUCGAGUAGUUUGGAAAUGCUGCUCUAAUUGUGGGGUAAAUCUCCCAUAAGGCUAAAUACCGGCCAGAGACCGAUAGCGCACAAGUAGCGUGAGCGAAAGAUGAAAAGAGCCUUGAACAAGGGCGUCAAAAAGCAUGUGAAAUUGUUGUGGGGGAAGCGUUCGAUGCCAGACGUGGCGGCGGUUGGUUACCCGGCGUUGUUAGCCGGCGCACUCUGCCGUCGCCAGGCCAGCAUCAGUUCGGAUCGGGGCUUACCGCCGGCGGGAACGUAGCUCCCCUAAGGGAGUGUUAUAGCCCGUCGGUACCGUCCCGGACCGGACUGAGGACCGCGUA